rnacentral:rRNA from 1 species
CCUACGGGAGGCAGCAGUGGGGAAUCUUGCGCAAUGGGCGAAAGCCUGACGCAGCCAUGCCGCGUGAAUGAUGAAGGUCUUAGGAUUGUAAAAUUCUUUCAGUAGGGACGAUAAUGACGGUACCUACAGAAGAAGCCCCGGCUAACUUCGUGCCAGCAGCCGCGGUAAUACGAAGGGGGCUAGCGUUGCUCGGAAUUACUGGGCGUAAAGGGAGCGUAGGCGGGUUAUCAAGUUGGAGGUGAAAGCCCAGGGCUCAACCUUGGAAUAGCCUUCAAAACUGAUAACCUAGAGGAUGGAAGAGGUAAGUGGAACUCCGAGUGUAGAGGUGAAAUUCGUAGAUAUUCGGAAGAACACCAGUGGCGAAGGCGACUUACUGGUCCAUUACUGACGCUGAGGCUCGAAAGCGUGGGGAGCAAACAGGAUUAGAUACCCUGGUAGUCCACGCUGUAAACGAUGAUUGCUAGUUGUCGGCAGGCAUGCCUGUCGGUGACGCAGCUAACGCAUUAAGCAAUCCGCCUGGGGAGUACGGUCGCAAGGAUUAAAACUCAAAUGAAUUGACGG